AUACAUUUUGAUUAAAAGUGAAACAAAAAAUCAAGUGUAGUAUCUGUUCUUAUCAGUUUAUUAUUUGAUACGUCCCCUAUCUGGGGACCAUAUAUUAAAAGGAUUUUUAGAACAUGGAGAUGAAAGAAGAGCUUGCUCUGUCCACUCCACGCAUCGACCUGGUAUUGCAGUACCUCCAGGACCGCUGCACAAAAA